rnacentral:rRNA from 1 species
GAAUUCGCCCUUAGAGUUUGAUUCUGGCUCAGGAUGAACGCUGGCGGCGUGCCUAACACAUGCAAGUCGAACGGUUAAACCGCCCUCGGGCGGACAUACAGUGGCGAACGGGUGAGUAACACGUGACCAACCUGCCCCGCGCUCCGGGACAACCGCUGGAAACGGCGGCUAAUACCGGAUACUCCGCGGCCCCCGCAUGGGGGCGGCGGGAAAGCCCCGACGGCGCGGGAUGGGGUCGCGGCCCAUUAGGUAGUAGGCGGGGUAGAGGCCCACCUAGCCGACGAUGGGUAGCCGGACUGAGAGGUCGAUCGGCCACAUUGGGACUGAGAUACGGCCCAGACUCCUACGGGAGGCAGCAGUGGGGAAUUUUGCGCAAUGGGGGAAACCCUGACGCAGCAACGCCGCGUGCGGGACGAAGGCCCUCGGGUCGUAAACCGCUUUCAGCAGGGAAGACUUUACGACGGUACCUGCAGAAGAAGCUCCGGCUAACUACGUGCCAGCAGCCGCGGUAAUACGUAGGGGGCGAGCGUUAUCCGGAUUCAUUGGGCGUAAAGCGCGCGUAGGCGGCCGCCUAAGCGGAACCUCUAACCCCGGGGCUCAACCUCGGGCCGGGUUCCGGACUGGGCGGCUCGAGUGCGGUAGAGGAGAGUGGAACUCCAUGUGUAGCGGUGGAAUGCGUAGAUAUAUGGAAGAACACCAGUGGCGAAGGCGGCUCUCUGGUCUGCAACUGACGCUGAGGCUCGAAAGCAUGGGUAGCGAACAGGAUUAGAUACCCUGGUAGUCCAUGCCGUAAACGAUGAGUGCUAAGUGUUGGGAGGUUUCCGCCUCUCAGUGCUGCAGCUAACGCAUUAAGCACUCCGCCUGGGGAGUACGACCGCAAGGUUGAAACUCAAAGGAAUUGACGGGGGCCCGCACAAGCGGUGGAGCAUGUGGUUUAAUUCGAAGCAACGCGAAGAACCUUACCAGGUCUUGACAUCCAGUGCAAACCUAAGAGAUUAGGUGUUCCCUUCGGGGACGCUGAGACAGGUGGUGCAUGGCUGUCGUCAGCUCGUGUCGUGAGAUGUUGGGUUAAGUCCCGCAACGAGCGCAACCCUUGUCAUUAGUUGCCAUCAUUAAGUUGGGCACUCUAAUGAGACUGCCGGUGACAAACCGGAGGAAGGUGGGGAUGACGUCAAGUCAUCAUGCCCCUUAUGACCUGGGCUACACACGUGCUACAAUGGACGGUACAACGAGAAGCGAACCUGCGAAGGCAAGCGGAUCUCUUAAAGCCGUUCUCAGUUCGGACUGUAGGCUGCAACUCGCCUACACGAAGCUGGAAUCGCUAGUAAUCGCGGAUCAGCACGCCGCGGUGAAUACGUUCCCGGGCCUUGCACACACCGCCCGUCA